GUGCUGCUGCAGGAGGAGCCCACCAAGUGUCUGGAUGUGGAGCUGCGGCAGCAGGCCAUGAGCACCAUCGCCACCAUGAGUUACCACCCCAGCCCAGCUUUGGCCGACAUGGUAACACUGGUCCCAGCUGGGGGCCCUGAGCAGAGCAUCACACCUCUGCCCUCUCUCCCCUUGCAGCAGAGCACAGCUGCUUCCCAAGAAGGAGAAGAACGGUCUCCUGCACACCUCCAUCAGCACUGUCCUCCAUCUCCCUCACCACAAGGAUGACACAGACUGGGAUGCUGCAUCCUGCAUGGAGGUGAGCACGGGCUGAGCCCUGGGAACACUUCCUGGGCACCACCACCUGGGAUGCCCCUCUGCUGCCAGCAGGACGCAGCAGGGAUGGCCGCCCUGACCCCUGUCCUUCUUGCAGACCAUGGAAGCCCUGCACCGCCUGCUGCAAGGGGCUGGUGGGCAGCACCAGCACCACUGUCCACAUGGAGCUGAAGAAUAUCUUGGAGCUCCUGCUGCCCUUCACCAUGUGCCAGCUGGUGGCCGUGGAGGAGAGGGCCACGGCGUGCAUUGGCAGGCUGCUCGCCUUCACCAACACCUGCUCAUUGCCAGAGGUAGGGCGCUCUGGUGCGCACAGCUCUGGGGACCAUGUCCUGGCUCCCCAGCUGGAGCCCACCUGUCUCCAGGCUUGCACAGAGCCUGGGCUGGGCCCUGCAGCCCCGCUCAGCAGUGUGCUUCUGCUGCCUCUCUCCCCGGCUGUGCUCCUGCUUCAUGGGAACCGCCGUCUUCCAGCACAAGUGCCAGGAGAACCAACACUUCCCUGUACGGGAGAAGCUGGCCAGACACCUCAUCCUGUGCUGCACCUCCAUGGAUGAGAGCACCAGAGUUGAGGCGAUGAAGGCUGUCUGUCAGCUUUUCACCUUCAUCACCACCCCAAGAUUGUCACUGAAGCAGAAGGAGCCCAAGGUGCCACAGCUCUGGGAGAGCCAGCUAGCUUUGCUCCACCAGGAGGCUUCCCCUGAGAACAGACCCACUGAUAUCUUCCAGGUCCUUCUGAAAUACCUCCUGUACCCCGAAACGGUGAAUGUCUUACUCACAACCACUGAGAGUACGACAGCGCUGAGCCUCCACAGCACCGAUCUGGCUGCCCACAUGAUAGAUGUGCUCGCAGCGGAGGCUUGCUUCCCUCCACAGCAGGUGUGAAAGAUCAUGAAGACCAUCUACAACAGCCUGCCUUCCACCAAAGACAAGGCAGCUCUCAAAAGCCUGGGCAGGGCCCUGCUCGUGCUGACCAGCAAAUUCCCGAAGGAGAUGGUUAGCAGUCUGCUGGUCUGCUCCCCCACCUGCACCAGGUACGGGGCCCACAGCCCUCAGGGCUCCUCUCCCUUCCCUUCUCUACCCCAUGGCCAUCAGCCAAGCGAGGGCAGCCAUGCUGACAGCUCUGGGGACCUGCAGGGUCACUGUCACCAUGUGGAAAGAAAUGCUCUCAGAACCCCCAGCCAUGGAGAAGGCGCUGCAGAAGCUGCUCCGAGUGCUGAUAAACCAUUCUCAGCAGCACUCGUCACCAUUCAUCAAGGACUGGCCACGUGUCCUUGCCCUAGCUGAGUUCUUCACUCACCCAGCUGAGCCUGAGUCCCCGCUCCCCUCCCCUGUCCACCCCCAAGCCUUCUCCCUGCUCUGACAUCCAUCCAUAGGCCUGCCUGGAGCUCUCGGGGUCUCCCUCCCCCUCCUUUCUUCCAUCCCUACAGUUGUAGAGAUGGGAUAGAAACCUGGGGGGUGGGGCAAGAAUCGUAUCCGGUGCUUUCUGCAGGUAGCAAGGACCCUACCUGAGAUACUCCAUUGCCUCUGGUCCUGAAAGAGGUCCAGGCCAUGCUCCCAAAGCUCUUCCUGGCCCUCCUCCUGCAAGCGUCCUUCACCACAAGCUGACGCAGCAGGAGGUGGAGAUUUUCUGGGAGGAGCACCAGCAGCACCAGCUCACUCCCAUCAGGUGCCACAUCCCCAUCCCCCCGCUGCACCCAGGGACCCCGUGCUGGGGCUCCCAAUGUGAUUUGCACCCUUCUCCACCUGCAGGUCCGCGUGCAGGCCUUGAAGGUGCUGCUCUGCAGCGUGGGCCUCCAGAGGCAGGUGGAGGUGUCUCGCUCCGAUUUAUAGGAGGGAGAGGAGGUUCUUUUAAUAUCUAUAUCCCUGGCGUGAGAUUAAGAAA
ensembl:lncRNA